CCUACGGGAGGCAGCAGUGGGGAAUAUUGGGCAAUGGGCGCAAGCCUGACCCAGCAACGCCGCGUGAAGGAAGAAGGCUUUCGGGUUGUAAACUUCUUUUCUCAGGGACGAGGAAAGUGACGGUACCUGAGGAUUAAGCCACGGCUAACUACGUGCCAGCAGCCGCGGUAAUACGUAGGUGGAAAGCGUUAUCCGGAUUUAUUGGGUGGAAAGGGCGUGUAGGCGGGAGAGCAAGUCAGAUGUGAAACCUCAGGGCUCAACCCGGAGCCUGCAUUUGAAACUGUGUCUCUUGAGUGCCGGAGAGGUCAUCGGAAUUCCGUGUGUAGCGGUGAAAUGCGUAGAUAUAAGGAAGAACACCAGUGGCGAAGGCGGAUGGCUGGACAGUAACUGACGGUGAGGCGCGAAAGCGUGGGGAGCAAACAGGAUUAGAUACCCGGGUAGUC
rnacentral:rRNA from 1 species